GUCGGUUUGUUACACAGACCUAAAGCAGUUUAGUAAAGCAGUCCAGAUUGUUAUCCAUAGAUACCCUUCGUAGUGACCCUUCCUUCAUCGCUUAAAAAUCUGUAACGCAAUCCAUCAAGCCGGAAGGCACAAUAUAUUUGUUAAUAAGGUAAUUUCUAUGUCUGCUAAAAUGACUGGUCUGGUAAAAUGGUUCAACGCUGAUAAAGGUUUCGGCUUCAUCACUCCUGACGAUGGCUCUAAAGACGUGUUCGUACACUUCUCUGCUAUCCAGAACGAUGGCUACAAAUCUCUGGAUGAAGGUCAGAAAGUUUCCUUCACCAUCGAAAGCGGCGCUAAAGGCCCAGCAGCUGGUAACGUUGUAAGCCUGUAAGCUUCCAGCCCAGUAGCACUAAAUUCAAAAACCCGCCUUCUGGCGGGUUUUUUCGU
rnacentral:sRNA from 1 species